UGACGGUAACUUACCAGAAAGGGACGGCUAACUACGUGCCAGCAGCCGCGGUAAUACGUAGGUCCCGAGCGUUGUCCGGAUUUAUUGGGCGUAAAGCGAGCGCAGGCGGUUUAAUAAGUCUGAAGUUAAAGGCAGUGGCUUAACCAUUGUUCGCUUUGGAAACUGUUAGACUUGAGUGCAGAAGGGGAGAGUGGAAUUCCAUGUGUAGCGGUGAAAUGCGUAGAUAUAUGGAGGAACACCGGUGGCGAAAGCGGCUCUCUGGUCUGUAACUGACGCUGAGGCUCGAAAGCGUGGGGAGCAAACAGGAUUAGAUACCCUG
rnacentral:rRNA from 1 species